rnacentral:rRNA from 1 species
UACGUAGGGCGCAAGCGUUGUCCGGAAUUAUUGGGCGUAAAGAGCUCGUAGGCGGCCUGUCGCGUCUGCUGUGAAAACUCAGGGCUUAACCCUGAGCUUGCAGUGGGUACGGGCAGACUAGAGUGCGGUAGGGGAGACUGGAAUUCCUGGUGUAGCGGUGAAAUGCGCAGAUAUCAGGAGGAACACCGGUGGCGAAGGCGGGUCUCUGGGCCGUAACUGACGCUGAGGAGCGAAAGCAUGGGGAGCGAACAGG